rnacentral:rRNA from 1 species
UACAGAGGGUGCAAGCGUUGUUCGGAAUUAUUGGGCGUAAAGGGCGUGUAGGCGGUGAGGUAAGUCUUCUGUGAAAGCUGCGGGCUUAGCCUGCAAAGUGCAGAGGAAACUGGCUGACUUGAGUGUCGGAGAGGAUAGGGGAAUACCCAGUGUAGAGGUGAAAUUCGUAGAGAUUGGGUGGAACACCAGUGGCGAAGGCGCCUGUCUGGCUGACAACUGACGCUGAGACUCGAAAGCAUGGGGAGCAAACAGG